ACACCCACACUGGGCGGUCUGGAGGCUACGCUAGUGUGGCAUCAUCUGAGCUGGGCAGCCAUUUCUGCUUACAGGGUUGGGACACCGGAAUCUUACCCGCACGGUGGCGGCUGCGGCUCUCGGUGUUUUGAUCCGAACGCCGCGUUCCCGCUUAACAGAAAUUCGUCAGUAUGCGCUUCAUGCUCAUAGUGUGGCGUCCAGACGUGCAGCGAGGGAAAAAAGAAACGCAAUAACCUGAUCCCUCAGAGUUGAUUGCUUCAGCAGGGCUUAAAUAUGUGCUGCGUCUUUUGGGGAACGUUACUUAAGAGGCAACCGUCUGGCUCGAAAUCUUCCAUUAUUCUCAGCAAGCGUUUAGGAGGUGACUGCACUGUAAGGAGAAUAACCCACAGUAGCAGAGGCUGGAAGUCUGCACAGUGCCGAGGUCAGUUCAGUCUUCCCUACUCGAACGAAGGAAGCCUGGAACAACUGUUUGCUUUCUCCGCCCUGCAUGUUAGUUGCCCGUUGUUUUUGGAGAAAAAGCAAGUAUCGAGGAAAUUCAGAAGAAAGAAAGUUAUCUCAAGAAAGUUGGUCAGAAGAAAAUGGGCAGAUCAUGAAAUGUUAGUUGUCUCCCAAAGUCCGUUCUUCCCUUUUACAACGCUAAUACUUUGUUACUUGGGCACAUGAAGUCCCAGCUAGAGACCACAUUACCCGUCUGCCUUACAACCAAGUGUGGUCAAGUUCUCACCAAUGGAACAUGAAUGAAAGCUGUAUGUGCACUCUGCAUCACUUGCUUAAAAAAAUCGGUUGCCCUCUACUUCUGCUCUUUUGCCCUUCUCCAGCACUAGGUGGCGCCAGUGCAGAUCUAUUGCAGUGACCCACCUGUAAACCAGGCAAAUUAGAAAAAAUAUCAAGCAUCAACAGGACAGAAACCAGGGAUUACAGAAGGGGCAGGAUUCAAAACAAAAUAAAAAUGAAACCAAAAUGAAACGAAAACAGACAAAAAGCAGAGUCCAUGGAUGAAUUAAUGAAGCUGAUUCACCCUACAGCCUCCACCACUCCUACUUCUGGAUUGUUAGAUGAGAAAUAAGCUUCUGUCUCAAUUAAAUCACUAUAUUUUGA